rnacentral:rRNA from 1 species
GAUGAACGCUAGCGGCAGGCCUAAUACAUGCAAGUCAAGGGGUAGUGGAGCUUGCUCCAUGAGACCGGCGCACGGGUGCGUAACGCGUAUGCAACCUACCUUUAUCUGGGGGAUAGCCCGAAGAAAUUCGGAUUAACACCGCAUAAAAUCACAGUAUCGCAUGGUACAAUGAUCAAAUAUUUAUAGGAUGAAGAUGGGCA